AUUGAACGCUGGCGGCAGGCUUAACACAUGCAAGUCGCGCGAGCGGCGGACGGGUGAGUAAUGUCUGGGAAACUGCCAGAUGGAGGGGGAUAACUACUGGAAACGGUAGCUAAUACCGCAUACCAGCAGAUGUGCCCAGAUGGGAUUAGCUAGUAGGUGGGGUAAUGGCUCACCUAGGCGACGAUCCCUAGCUGGGCUGAGAGGAUGACCAGCCACCCUGGAGCUGAUACACUGUCCCGACUCCUACGGGCGGCCGCAGUGGGGACUAUUGCACCAUGGGCGCACGCCUGAUGCAGCCAUGCCGCUUGUGUGACGAAGUCCUUCGGGUUGUACCGCACUUUCAGCGAGGAGGCGUUACUCGCAGGAGAAGCACCGGCUAACUCCGUGCCAGCAGCCGCGGUAAUAC
rnacentral:rRNA from 1 species